UGCAAGUCGAGCGAACAGAUAAGGAGCUUGCUCCUUUGAAGUUAGCGGCGGACGGGUGAGUAACACGUGGGUAACCUACCUAUAAGACUGGAAUAACUUCGGGAAACCGGAGCUAAUGCCGGAUAACAUAUAGAACCGCAUGGUUCUAUAGUGAAAGAUGGUUUUGCUAUCACUUAUAGAUGGACCCGCGCCGUAUUAGCUAGUUGGUAAGGUAAUGGCUUACCAAGGCGACGAUACGUAGCCGACCUGAGAGGGUGAUCGGCCACACUGGAACUGAGACACGGUCCAGACUCCUACGGGAGGCAGCAGUAGGGAAUCUUCCGCAAUGGGCGAAAGCCUGACGGAGCAACGCCGCGUGAGUGAUGAAGGUUUUCGGAUCGUAAAACUCUGUUAUUAGGGAAGAACAAAUGCGUAAGUAACUGUGCGCAUCUUGACGGUACCUAAUCAGAAAGCCACGGCUAACUACGUGCCAGCAGCCGCGGUAAUACGUAGGUGGCAAGCGUUAUCCGGAAUUAUUGGGCGUAAAGCGCGCGUAGGCGGUUUCUUAAGUCUGAUGUGAAAGCCCACGGCUCAACCGUGGAGGGUCAUUGGAAACUGGGAAACUUGAGUGCAGAAGAGGAAAGUGGAAUUCCAUGUGUAGCGGUGAAAUGCGCAGAGAUAUGGAGGAACACCAGUGGCGAAGGCGACUUUCUGGUCUGUAACUGACGCUGAUGUGCGAAAGCGUGGGGAUCAAACAGGAUUAGAUACCCUGGUAGUCCACGCCGUAAACGAUGAGUGCUAAGUGUUAGGGGGUUUCCGCCCCUUAGUGCUGCAGCUAACGCAUUAAGCACUCCGCCUGGGGAGUACGACCGCAAGGUUGAAACUCAAGGAAUUGACGGGGACCCGCACAAGCGGUGGAGCAUGUGGUUUAAUUCGAAGCAACGCGAAGAACCUUACCAAAUCUUGACAUCCUUUGAAAACUCUAGAGAUAGAGUCUUUCCCCUUUCGGGGGACAA
rnacentral:rRNA from 1 species